rnacentral:lncRNA from 1 species
UUUUUUUCCCCACAGAUGAGCAUGGGACCACCAUUGACGAGUUGCCUGGUCUUAAACAUAGCAACUUCAGUGGUUCUCCUGGUUAGCCUCCGUUGUUAACAUGACACAGCACAGAUUUAUCUGAAGGAAUCUCAGCUGGGUGAUUGCUUUAAUCAGAUGGACUUGUGGGGCCAUUUUCUUCACUGACAAUUGAUGAAGGAGGUCCAGGCCCACUGUGGGUGGGGUGGUCCUUGGGCACAGGGACCUGGGCUAUAUAAGAAAGGUAGCUGAAAGGGAACAGGCCACUAAGUAGCAUUCCUCCAUGGUGCCAGUAGUCUUCCAUCUCCAGGAACUACUUGGCCCAGAUACUUGUACACUGAGUGUUCACUGAGCAGGAGGUGGGUGUCUCAGUCUCUGUUGCAAGGGUCAUGCACAGACAGUUGGCUGCAAAGCUGGCAUAUUCCUAUCAUCCUGAGAUGUUAUAACUAAGGAAGCCUCCCACAGUACUUCUGAUCCUCAGACUCACGCAUAUGCCUGGGUGUGCUUCUGAGGUGUGGAAAAGAAGAUCCAAAUAGGAACUGUGGUGGAGGGGAUGCUCUGAUUUCGGGGAUGGAUUACAGCAAGGCACAAGCUUCCUUCAGCCUGAAUCUGUUUCUCGGAGGAGCAGCUGUUUUUCCUUAAGAAAGAAAACGAGUGGUACACUGAAUGCUCUCUUCCGAGAGAUACAUCCUGGAGGAAGGAAAUAAUGAUGUCACUGGCCAAGGGCCUCAACACAGCCAGAACACCUCUCCACUGUCCCUUUCCCCCAGACCAACUCCUGUCCAUCUCUCCUCAGAAAAGAGCAGGCCUCCAAGAGACAACAAUGAAACACAGGACAACAAGAUACAAUAAAGCAAGAAUUCUGAAAGUGUAUAUGACUCCUGCAGCCAAGAAGCCUCUGGUCUCUCAGCAGUCAAAACUAGGCACAAGGUAAAUGUAUGUCUAAUUUUCAAGAUCUGGGAACAUUAGUUUACAUCAUGGAUCUGACAACUGCAACCAAAGUACUGUUUGCGAUUAAAGUGAAA